UACAGAGGGUGCGAGCGUUGUCCGGAAUCACUGGGCGUAAAGGGCGCGUAGGUGGCCUGAUAAGUAGGGGGUGAAAUCUCGAGGCUCAACUUCGAGGCUGCCUCCUAAACUGUCAGGCUUGAGCAGAGUAGAGGCAGGUGGAAUUCCCGGUGUAGCGGUGGAAUGCGUAGAGAUCGGGAAGAACACCCGUGGCGAAGGCGGUUCUCUGGGACGGUACUGACGCUGAGACGCGAAAGCGUGGGGAGCGAACAGG
rnacentral:rRNA from 1 species